ensembl:misc_RNA 7SK 7SK RNA
GGAUGUGAGGGCGAUCUGGCUGCAACAUCUGUCACCCCAUUGAUCGCCAGGGUUGAUUCGGCUGAUCUGGCUGGCUAGGCAGGUGUCCCCUUCCCCCCUCACCGCUCCAUGUGCAUCCCUCCCGAAGCUGCACGCUCGGUCGAAGAGGACAACCAUCCCCGCUAGAGGAGGACCGGUCUUUGGUCAAGGGUAUAUGAGUAAAGCUGCGCUCCCCUGCUAGAACUUCCAAACAAGCUCUCGAGAAAUAGCCAGAAAAUAGUAUGAAUCUUUAGGUGAUUUGAUGGUAAAAUAACUGUCUUAAUACCUAUAGCUGCAAAUUAUU